rnacentral:rRNA from 1 species
GGCGAACGCUGGCGGCGUGCUUAACACAUGCAAGUCGAACGGAAAGGCCCUGCUUUUGUGGGGUGCUCGAGUGGCGAGCGGGUGAGUAACACGUGAGUAACCUGCCCUUGACUUUGGGAUAACUUCAGGAAACUGGGGCUAAUACCGGAUAGGAGCUCCUGCUGCAUGGUGGGGGUUGGAAAGUUUCGGCGGUUGGGGAUGGACUCGCGGCUUAUCAGCUUGUUGGUGGGGUAGUGGCUUACCAAGGCUUUGACGGGUAGCCGGCCUGAGAGGGUGACCGGCCACAUUGGGACUGAGAUACGGCCCAGACUCCUACGGGAGGCAGCAGUGGGGAAUAUUGCACAAUGGGCGGAAGCCUGAUGCAGCAACGCCGCGUGCGGGAUGACGGCCUUCGGGUUGUAAACCGCUUUCGCCUGUGACGAAGCGUGAGAGACGGUAAUGGGUAAAGAAGCACCGGCUAACUACGU